rnacentral:rRNA from 1 species
GACAGAGGUGCCAAGCGUUAGGCGGAAUCACUGGGCUUAAAGCGUGUGUAGGCGGACUGGUAAGUACCUUGUGAAAUCCCACGGCUCAACCGUGGAACUGCUGGGUAUACUGGUUGUCUUGAGCCAGCUAGGGGCGAGCGGAACAGACGGUGGAGCGGUGAAAUGCGUAGAUAUCGUCUGGAACGCCGAAGGUGAAAACAGCUCGCUGGGGCUGCGCUGACGCUGAGACACGAAAGCCAGGGGAGCGAACGGG